rnacentral:rRNA from 1 species
GACGAACGCUGGCGGCGUGCUUAACACAUGCAAGUCGAACGGUGAAGCGCCUUCCUUUUUGGUGGGUGUGGAUGAGUGGCGAACGGGUGAGUAACACGUGAGUAACCUGCCCCCUUCUUCUGGAUAACCGCAUGAAAGUGUGGCUAAUACGGGAUAUUCUGGGUCUGUCGCAUGAUGGGUCUGGGAAAGAUAUUGUUUCGGUGGGGGAUGGGCUCGCGGCCUAUCAGCUUGUUGGUGGGGUGAUGGCCUACCAAGGCGGUGACGGGUAGCCGGCCUGAGAGGGUGGACGGUCACACUGGGACUGAGGCACGGCCCAGACUCAUACGGGAGGCAGCAGUGGGGAAUAUUGCACAAUGGGCGCAAGCCUGAUGCAGCGACGCCGCGUGAGGGAUGGAGGCCUGCGGGUUGUGAACCUCUUUCGCCAGUGAAGCAGGCCUGCCUCGUUUGUGGGUGGGUUGACGGUAGCUGGAUAAGAAGCGCCGGCUAACUACGUG